rnacentral:rRNA from 1 species
GACGAACCGUGCGAACGUUAUUCGGAAUCACUGGGCUUAAAGGGAGCGUAGGCGGGCUAUCAAGUCUGGGGUGAAAUCCCACGGCUCAACCGUGGAACUGCCUCAGAUACUGACGGCCUCGAGGGAGAUAGGGGCAUGCGGAACUGUAGGUGGAGCGGUGAAAUGCGUUGAUAUCUACAGGAACUCCGGUGGCGAAAGCGGCGUGCUGGAUCUCUUCUGACGCUGAGGCUCGAAAGCCAGGGGAGCGAACGGG